CAGUUAGCUUAUUUAUUUUUGUAUGAACAGUGAUUUAAAAAAACCUAAUUUAACUGGUUUAUGAGGCAACAGGCAUGUGCAAGAAAAAUGGCUUUUCCUUUAAUUCUUUUGUAUAAAACUGCAUGUCUUUUUUGGCUCAUUUUGCUGCACACAACAACAACAGCUAAAAAAAAGGCUUUUUAGUAAAUGAAAAAGCAAUAAAUACAUAUUACUUUGGCCAAUGUGUAAGUUUCCCGGCUGAGCUGGUGAGAAGACACUUAGUAAAGUGUCAGUGAAAGUGAUUACAUUUGAUGAAAGAUUAUGAAAACAAGCAUUUCCUUCAGAAUUACAUCCAUGAUUCAGUCACAGUGUAUGAGCAGAAUAACACAGACUUGUGUUCAGGAGGUGAAAAUAGCUAAAGAUCUUAAAUAAAGCUACGUUGUCUAAAGUGAUGUAAUAUCUGUAUCUAAAAUAGAUUUCUUUCAAACUGAGCUACAUGCUAAAGCUAGUUUGCUAACAAUCUCUGUUGUCUUUCGCACAACUCUUUAUGCACUUCUGCUUCUGUCAUGUCAUUAAUCAUGUCUGGAUUUGUCUGGUUAGCCUCAUGCUAGUUCGCUAGCAGGUCUGUUGGGUGCAGCGACUCCAGACGCCUGAGGCCAGUGUGAGCAAAACAAGUCAUCAGUCAACGCUAAAGCCACGCUCUACUUGGACUUCACCUGGCGUGAGUGUGAGACUGAGGGGUUUAGAGGGAAUUAUAGAGGUACAAGCAUGUUUUACACUUAAAUGUUGAAACUGUAUGCUAAUGCAGGAAUGCAAAUGCUUGUAAAUAAGUUGAUUGCAUAUAUUUGGUCUGUUUUCUCUUUCAGGUUAAGUACGACAGUAAUAUAUAUAUAUAAUACUUUAAAUUUACACCAUUUCUUACCAUUCCUAGACUCGUUCAGCUGACUGUAGAAAAUGUAAAUUUCUUGUGUUUCAUGUUGACUAUAGUUUAAAUCAUCUUUCACGGAGCUGUGGCACAUAGACCCCCCUUGAAAGCAAGUCUGUUCUUUAAUUUACAUUAAAAUGUGCAUACACUAGAUUCAGUAAUUUACAUUGAGCAGUUCUCAGGCUUGUCUCAUUUAGCCUUUUAGAUAGCUCUGCCUGCAUGAGACAAUUUCAGUGAAGCUUCACCAAAACAAUAACCUGCUUUUCAACUCAGAUCAGCUAACACGGCAUUAUCAGAUUAAAAACAUUUCGUGAUCUUCUGUCUGUUCAACACACGGAAGUAGCUGAAAGCUUUGCUGACAGAGAAAUGCUAGCCAGUUUUUCCUGACGAUUCAGGUGUUGGAAAUGCUACAGAGUUUUAGCAGUGCUCUUCGAUGACUGCAUAAAGAAUUGUGUGUCAAAUCAAUGGAUUUUCAUCUAAAAAUCUUCCUUUUCUUCAUCUGCAUACCUUUGGUUAAUUCAGGUGAGAUUUGAUUCGUAAAGUCAUUUAAACUGUGACUUUCUCUGUCAGCAACUCCUUCAGCUACUUCCAUGUGUUGAACAGACAGAAAAUCACGAGAUGUGUUUAAUUUGGUCUGAUAGUAGAUCGAUAGUAGACCAUAGUUGAUCAUAUGGAUAAAUGUUAAUAAACGUAUCUGAGAAUUAGGUAUUUUCCUCACAUUGAUCUCAAUCUUUUGUAGCUCCUGAAGUGUCUCUGUUACAUAAGGACCCCUUCUCUCCAGUAGUGUGUCAUGCCACAGGUUUCUACCCAUCAGCAGUGAAUAUCACCUGGUUAAGAAAUGGAGAAGAUCACAAAGAGGAUGUGGAGCUUGGAGAGCUACUACCAAAUGAAGAUGGGACCUUCCAGAAGACUGUUUCCCUCCGUGUUACUCCAGAUGAAUGGGAGAAGCACCAGUAUGUUUGUGUGGUGGAGCACGAGACAGGGACUAUACGGAGGAAUCUGACUGAGGACGAGAUCAAGAGUAACUACGGACCUACAAAAAAAUACUUCACAAUACUUGUGGGUUUGACAGACGUGUUCACUGUCAUCCUCGUAGUCCUCGUAGUCCUGGUUAUUGUUACUGCAUUGAUUGUUUGGAAAAUAAAACGAAGUGGGUUAAUAAGAAUUUCAGACAGUAAUGAUAAUGAUGAGUCUUUAAAGGGUUUCCUCCAAUCAAGUCUCCCAGAUUUUGGUGAGGUUAUCAGUCUUCAGGAUGUGGAGAUCAGAUGAUUUCCAGCAUGCAUGUGUGACCAAAACAUGUUAAAUCAAUAAAAGAUGCAUGAGUAUGGACGUCAUGGACCUGUUUUCCCAAACAAGAUGACCACAUGACCAAAGAAACACAGAAAAAGAACACCUUAUAUCAUCUGUGUGGUGUUUCAUCUAUAAAAGCAGACUGGAGACACAUCGAUAUGAGGUGCAAAUGCCAGUCAGCUAAAGAGCACCCAGAUACUGUCUGGUUAUUAAACUUAUGUUAAUAUCAAGUGUAAUGGGAGCUUUGAAUGUACUACUGUUUGUUAUCCUGCCGUUUAACACUGGUAUUUGUAUAUAGUUUAAAUCAAAGGAAACCUUUUUUGUACAUAUACAGUUCUCUGAAUAAGAAUAAUUUGA